GGUGGGGGGGGGGGGGGGGGGGGGGUAAAAAGAAAUUGUGGGGGGUCAAUUUUUUCUCAUUUCAGAUUUCAGAAAUUAAAAAGAAUUAUUCUUCAAAUAUUAUUUUUUUUUCAAAUUUCAAAUAUUGAAAAAUUUCAAGAAGUAAUCUUUAAUUGCACAGUAUGGCGCAUAAGUUUUGUAAAAUCUUUGAUCACAUUUAUUUAUUUGUUAUGCCGAAUCUAACAGUGUAUUUAGAUUUUUAAUUUUGGGUCCAGUUUUCAAAUUGGUCUACAUUAAGGUCCAAAGGGUCCAAAAUUAAACUUUGUUUGAUUUUACCAAAAAUUGAAUAUAUGAGGUUCUUUGAUAUGCUGAAUCUAAACAUGUAUUUAGAUUUUUGAUUUUUGGCCCAGUUUUCAAGUUAGUCCAAAUUGGGGUCCAAAAUUUAACUUUGUUUGAUUUCAACAAAAAUUGAAUAUAUGGGGUUCUUUGAUAUGCUGAAUCUAACCAUGUAUUUAGAUUUUUUAUUUGUGGACCCCGUUAUCAAAUUGGUUCAUAUUGAGGUCAAAAGGGUCCAAAAUUAAACUUUGUUUGAUUUCAUCAAAAAUUGAAUUAUUGGGGUUCUUUGAUAUUCCAAAUCUAACCGUGUAUUUAGAUUUUUAAUUUUAGGUCCCGUUUUUUAAAUUGGUCUACAUUAAGGUCCAAAGGGUCCAAAAUUAAACUUAGUUUGAUUUUAGCAAAAAUUGAAUUCUUGGGGUUCUUUGAUAUGCUGAAUCUAAACAUGUGUUUAGAUUUUUUAUUAUGGGCCCAGUUUUCAAGUUUGUCCAAGUUGGGGUCCAAAAUUAAACUUUUUUUGAUUUCAACAAAAAUUGAAUAUAUGGGGUUCUUUGAUAUGCUGAAUCUAACCAUGAAUUUAGAUUUUUUAUUUGUGGGCCCCGCUAUCAAAUUGGUUCAUAUUGAGGUCAAAAGGGUCCAAAAUUAAACUUUGUUUGAUUUUAGCAAAAAUUGAAUUCUUGGGGUUCUUUGAUAUGCUGAAUCUAAACAUGUGUUUAGAUUUUUGAUUAUGGGCCCAGUUUUCAAGUUUGUCCAAGUUGGGGUCCAAAAUUAAACUUUUUUUGAUUUCAACAAAAAUUGAAUAUAUGGGGUUCUUUGAUAUGCUGAAUCUAACCAUGAAUUUAGAUUUUUUAUUUGUGGGCCCCGCUAUCAAAUUGGUUCAUAUUGAGGUCAAAAGGGUCCAAAAUUAAACUUUGUUUGAUUUCAUCAAAAAUUGAAUUAUUGGGGUUCUUUGAUAUUCCAAAUCUAACCGUGUAUUUAGAUUUUUAAUUUUGGGUCCCGUUUUUGAAAUUGGUCUACAUUAAGGUCCAAAGGGUCCAAAAUUAAACUUAGUUUGAUUUUAACAAAAAUUGAAUAUAUGGGGUUCUUUGAUAUGCUGAAUCUAACCAUGUAUUUUGAUUUUGGACAUUGGACCAUAAUAGGUAAAUUAAAAAAAAUCAAGUUCUUAGACCACAUUCUUUCUGUGUCAGAAACCUAUGCUGUGUCAAAUAUUUAAUAACAAUCCAAAUUCAGAGCUGUAUCAAGCUUGAAUGUUGUGUCCAUACUUGCCCCAACUGUUCAGGGUUCGACCUCUGCGGUCGUAUCAAGCUGCACCCCAACGAAGCAUUUUAUUGGUUAUUAUCUUGAAUAUUAUUAUAGAUAGAGAUAAACUGUAAACAGCAAUAAUGUUCAGCAAAGUAAGAUCUACAAAUAAGUUGUCAUGACCAAAAUUGUCAGUCGACCCCUUUAGGAGUUAUUGCCCUUAAUAGUCAGUUUUUAACAAUUUUUUGUAAAUUUUUGUAAUCUUUUACAAAAAUCUUCUUUUCUGAAACUACUGAGACAAAUUUAACCAUACUUGGCCAUAAUCAUUAUUAGGGUAUCUAGUUUAAAAAAUUUGUCAGAUGACCCCGCCUUCUAACCAUCAUGGCUGACUUGGUUAAAAAUAGAACAUAGGGGUAAAAUGCAGUUUUUGGUUUAUAUCUCUGAAACUAAAGCAUUUAGAGCAAAUCUGACAGGUGGCAAAAAUGUUCAUCAGAAUUAGAUUUAUCUGCCCUGAAAUUUUCAGACGAAUCCGACAACCGGUUGUUGGGUUGCUGCCCCUGAGUUAGUAAUUUUACAAAAAUUUUGCAGUUUUUUGUUAUUAUCUUAGAUAUCAUUAUAAUAUCUAAUAUCUAAUACUAUUAAUUAUGAUUUUAACCUUAUUUUACAUGAUUUCCAAAGCGUCAGUAAAUACAGGUGAGCGACACAGGCUCUUGAGAGCCUCUAGUUUU